rnacentral:rRNA from 1 species
UACGUAGGGGGCUAGCGUUGUCCGGAUUUAUUGGGCGUAAAGAGCGUGUAGGCGGUUUGGUAGGUCCGUUGUGAAAACUCGAGGCUCAACCUCGAGACGCCGAUGGAAACCAUCAGACUAGAGUCCGGAAGAGGAGAGUGGAAUUCCCGGUGUAGCGGUGAAAUGCGCAGAUAUCGGGAAGAACACCGGUGGCGAAGGCGGCUCUCUGGGACGGUACUGACGCUGAGACACGAAAGCGUGGGGAGCGAACAGG